CCUCGCCCCGCCCUAGCCAUAACGCCUCGCCGCCGGUGCCACCCGCUCGAUCCUCGCCAACGCCUCAUCUUAUUCGCCGCCGCUGGACCGUUCUCCGCUGCCGCCUGCAAGCUCGCUCGCUCGCCGCCUAUCUCCUCCACGGAACCAACUCGUGAUCCCGUCUACAAACUCUCUCCCCGUCCGCGAUUUGGUUUCGAGGAUGCCUAAGCGAAGAUGGCAGGGCGACGAGGUUCAGCCCAACUACCACGACCGCGGCGCUAACAAACCCAAGAGCAUCUAUCUUGUUCUAGAUGACUGGCACGGGGGCUUCACCAUUCGCAAGCUUGAUGCUGACAGUCCUGACCUGAGCGAGCCCCCUGUCUUCCGGCUAGCGUCGCCUAUGAAGAACCAUGCCAUGGACUUUGCCGCUCUGGGCAGCAACAUUAUAGCCACCAGCAACCAAUGUGCUGCAACUCUAGUCUUUGACACGGAAGCAGAGGCGCUGGCCAUCGGCAAUCCCCUCCCGGAUGCACUCCUCAGUUCCCUCAACUUCUUUGUCACAGCUGACGACAUGUUAUUUGCGUUUGCCUACUACUUCACGUCGCGGCCUCCCUCCUUCGAAGUCAUGACCACCGCCAAGGAGGACGAGGUACGCUCUUUGUGCCCAAGCACUGACUGGUCCUGGAAAAGCAUCCCAGCUCCCUUCACCAAGCAUCAAAGGAUUGUAUCCUACGCCCUUCACCGGGACAGACGCACCAUAUUCGUGUUUGUGCAUGACCGAAAUGGCAGCGGCACCGGCACGUUCUCCUUUGACAGUGAGAACCGUGAGUGGAGGCGCCAUGGGGAAUGGAUGCUCCCUUUCCACCGCCAAGGUUACUUCGACGCAGACCUAGAUGCAUGGGUUGGGUUACACCCGGAUGGCUACAUCUGCUCCUGCCAACUUCCCCCCCUAAGCACCACCACCACCAUGCAGCAGCCUAGCUGGAAGAUUUCCAAUGCGCAAAACCUGUGGAGCCCAAUACAUCAAGCGUCUAAAUCCGAAGGGGCUAGUCUCACAUACUUGGGCAACUCCAAGUUUUUCCUUGUUGAUUGCGACGUGGCAGAUGGAUUUGAGUUCCAGGAUGCCUUUAAUGAUCCUCAUGGCUUCGUGCUCAACAUGACCACGUUUCGUCUCGAGUACAAUCAUGAGGGCAAGCUGAGUAUCAUCGACAGAAACACUACCUCUUGUCCUGUCUCUAGGCAACUCUCGUCUUUUUCUCCCGUAGCGUUCUGGAUGUAGCUAGCAAGGGAAAAAAAUGCACCUUCUGUUUUCAUUUAUUUAGCUGUAUAUCAUGCAUACUAGCUAUGUGUGUAGCUAUGUGUGUCUGUCCUAUCUGUAAAUUACUCCCUCCACUUCUAUAUAAAGCCACUUUGUAAAUUGGUGUAGCUUUUACCAUCGUUUUGAGCAACAAGGUAUGCUUUUUGUGGCAUGUAACAUAUAUUUUAUUGCUCAAAUCGGUGAUCGAAGUUAUACCCAAGUUAUGAAUUGGCUUGUAUAAAAAAAAGAGGGAGUAUGAUUUGAAUCAAUAGAACACAGACUGGUUAUUAUGUGGGAACUUUCAGAGCUCUUAAUUGUCAAUUCUGCAAAUGCAGAAAUCGAUCGAUGCAUGGCUGCCUAUAACUAUGAGUUUCAGAAACUUAUGAUAAUUUUUUGUAAUGAUAAAUAUAUAUGUGGAUUAAAAUCUAUCAUCUUGAUUAAUACAACUUACAUAUUUUGAUCUUAUCCGCCAUCACAAAAAAGAAAUAAUGUCUCUGCAGUUCUCUUUUGGGUUUUUUCCUUAAGGAAAAAUCCCCAGGGGGCUCUCUUUGCAUUGUAACUUCAAGUAAUGUUAAGAAAACUGGAGUGUAAGAUAGGUAUAUUCAAGGAAAGGUUCUACGAUAAUUAGGAAAUAUUCGGGCAUGGUUGCCUUUAUCGCAUUGCUACAUUCCAUCCUAGGAUGCAAUUUUGUUGGCCAAUCAAGUAAUGGCAAAUGUUGAUGCAUCAGAUGCCUUGCAUUUAUUAUGUAUGGGCAUUUUUUAUUACAAAUAACUAGCUUAUUAAUAGGGCAUUUUGGUAAACUACAGUAACAUAAAUUAGAAGUAGAUACCUAAAGCCUAAAGGUAGAGAAUGAAAUCACAGCCUAUACAAAUACUAAAUUCUAUUUUGUAUAUACAAAAUCCAUCUGGUGAUGUUAUUCAGUCAAAUGUCAUGAGAAGAUUUUAAAAAUGAGAAAAGAAGAGAGAUAUGCACUUCAGAUGUACUCAUGUUGUAUUUCUGUAAAAGAUUUUUGGGCAUUUGUUGUUGAUAAGCAGGAGGAUAUGAAAUCGAAAGCAUGAAUCAGUUAUCACUUGGUUUAGAAACAUGUAUCUGGGAGCAAUUUAUUUCUACGUAAAUGUGUGUUGUCUGACAUACAAGUCAUGCCAUGUGUAUAAACCAAACCUUAAAGCUGAUCAUUUUUCCGAUACUACUACACUGUAAGAAAAUCAUGAUGGUACCUGGCAAUGUAGAUAAUCAAUGGGUCAUGGCACAAGUAGAGGUUCUGAAAUCUUUUGCUUUGAACUUGAGAAUCUAGCAAACUGAAACAUGUAAAGUUGGUUCUGAAAAUAGCUCUAUCUCUGUAUUGGUUCCAGGUAAUUGUUACUAAUCAACAAGAGUUGACAUGUACAUAUGUUGUGUUGCAGGAUGUGUUAUUAAAGUUAAUGUUAUGUAUCUUUCCAUGUUCUCUCUUUGGUUUUAACGGCCAUUAUGUUAUGAUUCUAACUAGAAAUUUGAACAACAAAUAAUUUUAUAAUUUUACUUAAAAAUAUCCUUUUGAAGUAUGCUACAUUGUACAAAAUAUGUAGAAAUAUUGGGAUUUUAUUGUUGGUGUCUUCAGCCGCAGUGUGUGGGAACAGUUCAUUUAAGGGAGUCCACUAAAAAUGUUUAUUCCACCAUAACCAGAAGGCUUUCACAGUUGGCUCCGUGUCGAAGCCCAUAAAGUUAAUGUCCACUUUCCAGUUUCCAGAAAAGUUUCUAAAGAUCCUUCGAAGAUCACUACCUAUGUUUUGGCUGAACAAAUAAAAUGACUCUGCAUUAGCAACUGAAUAGCUGUUUCAUGACAGGUAUCCUACAAGUCCCUGUCAUGGUGCAAGCAAUGGCUUGGGCCAAAAGUGAACAUAACAAGGACUCCACAGUAUUCUACUUUCUGCCUGCUGCUAUUGUUCUAAAGUUCUAAACGUGCAAACUGAAGGCCUUCAUUGUCAAUAUCCAUGUUUUGGCUAUUCAAACUGUCGUUACUAUUUUUGUGGUAUAUCACAAUGUUAAUUUUCCCUUCCUAGUAAGCCCUGUGUUCUUUUUGCAGGCAGAACAUGAUGGAUCAGAUUUACAAACAACCAUGAAUGCUGAGCACCAUCAUGGUGAGGAUUUAUUUCCAAACAUGACAAGGGCUCCACAUGUGAAGUACAUAACAUACUAUGAGGACGCUGAAAGUAUUCCAGGAUGGAGAACAGCAGUCUGGGAGCUUGACAAAGGAUUUUGUGGUGUUGCUUGCGACACCAAAAUCUUCAGCCACUUGGAAGCCACUUGUAGCAGAAUUGACUUGAUCGUGUUGGAGGUUUGCCAUGAGAUCACACUGAUGUGUACAAUUAGUCUAUGGUCUGGCUGUUUAGCAGCCAAUUUGCUCACAUUAUCAACAGUCUGAAAAGAUUGCUUACUACUAUUGGAUUGGAUGUCAACAUUGGAGGCAGCAUUUGUUAAUAUUGGACAAAUUCAUUAUAUCAUUUUCUUUUUGUUCUGUGUCAUAAUGCCCAUUCUGGGAAGAGUUGGAAGAGGAGCGGGAGCACCAAAAACCACCACAUCGCUCUUUCCUUUCUUUUGGUGCUACCUUGUUUUUUCAAGGGAUGGGGCUGGGGUGUAUGAUAACCCUUCUUUUGAGUAUGCCAGGGAGCAACUCCUAGCUCAAUUUAGGUACAAUUGAUAAAAAUAAUAGAGAUCAUGAGUAUAUUGGAUGUAAUAAUGUUUAUAUUAUGGAAUAGAGGGAGUGCCUCUGUAGUCUA